rnacentral:lncRNA from 1 species
AUGUAUCACACCAGACUCAGAGAGCUAAGAAGAUGCAAGAAUGAGAGAUCAAGAUGCAAACUGACAGCAAGAACAGGUGAGGAUGGGAACACGAAACAAAGGGAAAUAAUCUGCCCUGAGGACGGAGACAGAGAGCUCUGCACAGAAAUGCAGUUUGCUGGAUGCACAAGAAGCAGAAAUGAAGAGAAGCAGUCAGCAAAACUGCUCACAGCAGAAGAGGUUCACCAUUUGGGACAAGUAACUUCACAGCUAAGAAAGUUCUCUUACUCAGCAUACUCAAGAGUGAAAGAUGUUGUCAGAUCAUAUCUCCUAUGGAAAACAGGUAGCAGAGCAGUUGUAGAAGGGCCGAAAUAAAAAUCAAACAAAGGUCUCUUCUAGGCCUUGGAGGAAAUAUUUUUGUGAGUUUAUUUCCCCUGUGAACAGACUUGUUUAGUCUUAGUAAUAUUCAAAUCUAGAAGAGAACUUACUACCAUUGUCACACUAAAUCUGUGUUUCCUGAAAAAAACAUUUAUCAUUUUGUAAGAUGUCACAGGGCCUCUUUACCUUGCAUUUUAUUAAUGCAAUCACUUAUUCCCAAAUCAGAAUAUAUUACAUCAUUCCUUUUGUUUUUUGGGGUUUUUUUCCCACUGGCUACAUCAAGAAACUGCAUUAACAGCAAUUUAAGUGUUGUCUGUAGGGUUCCAAAUUGAAGCACAGAAAAUCAGAAUGGAUUAGAAACUUAUACCUAAAUACCUGUUUUUCACUGUGACACUCAAGGACACAGGUUAUUUAAUAAGGUAUUUUGCAUAACUGAAGAGAGGAAGGAGUUGCUCUAAAAAUGGAUACAAAAGGUCCACAUGGAUCAGAUGGACAGAACAGGUGAUAACUUAUUGAGAAAACAUCUAAGAAAAAUGACAAAUUAGGAACGAUCAAAUUCCACAGGUUCUGUGGAUCAGCUCUGCACAGGAAAAAGACUAAAAGGAGUCAGGCAGACUUGGACAAAUGAAAAAGAAAUUUAACCUGAAACCAACUGUAAGGAAAGCCACAGAAAGGCACAUGUACAUCAAAUCUUUAUUCCAUCUACAUGUUUAGAGAUAGAUUGAUACUUGUUCGCUAAUAUUUUCUAAGAAUGAACUAAGAAAUUUCUCUCCAGCUACAGCCACUUUUUAUCAGUCAUAUGUUGCUUAAUUUGCAGAUCUUCCAAAAAUAAGAAAAAUAUUAUUAAAAGCUGAAAUAAAAUAUUUUAGAAUUAUAUUUCA